AUACUGGAAAGUGUCCAUUUGUGUGCAAUGAAGGAAUGCAAAAAAAGAGAACAAGUGGUAAAGUAGGACAUGAGGGAUUAUUAACAGUUAUCUCAAAUACCUUGUAACCUUAUGAACUCAGGCCAUUCUUUUCCUGUUAGAUUGUACGUUUAACCUUUAAAUGGCUUAAAAUCAAAGAGGGAAGCUCAUCCAUUCUUUUUCUCUGUAAGUCUCCUUGAAGGAGUUGGAGAUGAAAUCGUCUUUCUAUUGGAGUUGGCAGUGCUUUGCAGAUGUGUCUUCUCUCUGCUUACCUGUGAAAUGUGCUACCUGGGCUUGAGGUCAAGCUUUUGAAGUUCCUGAAUUGAAUGUGGUGCUCCUUUUAGCCACCACCUUGGAAAUGAUCUUUUUUUUGUUUGUUUGUUUGUUUUGUUUUGUUUUUGCGGUACGCGGGCCGCUCACUGCUGUGCCCUCUCCCAUUGCGGAGCACAGGCUCCGGACGCGCAGGCUCAGCGGCCAUGGCUCACGGACCCAGCCUCUCCGCGGCAUGUGGGAUCCUCCCGGACCGGGGCACGAACCUGCGUCCACUGCAUCGGCAGGCAGACUCUCAACCACUGCGCCACCAGGGAAGCCCACUUGGAAAUGAUCUUAAUUCUUUCUGCUACAACUAAGAAUUUUUCUAAAGUUUGCUCUUAAAAGUUAAAGAAAUUCUUAAUUUUAAAGAAAAAAUUUUAUUGGCUCUUAAAUGUAUUCUCUUUCUUCUUCUUCUUGAGUUGGUAUAGACUUUGACAGUAGUACCUGUGAGUGGUUUUACCUGUUCAGUGCACUGUGAGGGAGUUUAGAAAAUGCUAGUGUCUGAAAAGGAGGAUUUCUCAAAGUUUUAGACACAGCCAUGGGAAAGUGUUCAUAUCCUCAUCUUUAUAACUGUGUCCAUGUCCCAUGGCUUUUAUCUUUUUUCUUUUUAUGUGUCCAUGUUUAUCUUAAAUUAAGUUUUAUAUUAAUCAAAAAAUAUUCCUUUAGUCAACUAUCCCUGUUAAAUCCAAUGGUGAGACUUCUUUGAGGAGACAGGGUUGGUUAGGGCUGCAUAUCUAGAAUUCUCUUUGAUCGAUUAUAUCAUGACUUGGUGAAAUAAUUGUAUAUCACUUUUGCUGUUAAAUGAAAUUGAAGGUAAAUAUAGGAUGAUUGUUAUCAUUACAUCUUGACCUGAUACAUGAUAGAGAAUAGGUUCCUAAGUUUGGCCGUGAUGGUUUUAUAUUCACUGAAGUGAAAAAAUUCUGAAAUGUAGUGUAACUUUAUGAAUGUGAAAUUGUUACAUGUAUUUAAGAACAUUAUUGUGAUUUCAUUUGCCUAAAAAUAUCAGGAGUGGUUCAAAAGAAGAUUGAACUCCUGAAUCCUCUGAAAUUCAGGCCAUGCUGGACGAGGAAACCCCUGAUGUCCUCAGAGUGGAGCUUAAUCUUUCACCCAAAUCAGCUUUUCCUUCAGAGUUUUGACCUAUGACUUAGAAAGAGCUUUUCUCUCCGCUCUGAACCAUAGCUUGCCAGCUUUACAGUGUGAUCCUUGGAGAUGUGGAAAGAGGAAGAGGAAGCAGUCUUUGACCUUUGUCAGUGUAUUCCUGUAGAGCCCACUUCCAGAGUUGGUUUUUUUCCUUUCCUCCUCUCUCCCAUUGUUCUUCUCUCCUGCUUACUUUAUUGCCUUCUUACUCAUUAUCUGGCCAUGUUUCCUCUGAGACAGCAAACGAGCCUGUAAUGAAGGCACUUGCCUUACUAAAGCUCUGAGAAUUGGUUACAUGAGGCCUUUUCCCAAGGGACUCAAUUUUUAAUGUGUUCAUGAUUGGGUUAAUGAAACGGAGCAGGUGACAAAUUUAGUUUAUGGAAGGCCCAUUCAGGACAGCAAGCAUUUAAAAGGGCUGAAAAGACAUACCAGAGAUCCUAAUCAAGCAGUGUGGCUUAGAUGAAAGGUCACAAAUGAAAUUUAAUGUGAAUUAUGCUAGGGUAAUUCGUAUUACGAAAAUAAUUUAGGCACAUGACAUUAUGUUAGCACUGCAUUUUGCUUUUGGAACCUUCCAGGAGUAGUGGAGGCUAUGCUUACUAUUCCUUAUAACAGAGGUUUUAAUGAUUUAUUAAAAAAAAUAAUUAGCUAGACCAUAUAUUAUAAAAAAAAUUUGCCAUGGUAGGGAUGAAGAUAGAGGAAUAAAGAGGGGGGGGAUGCAAAGAUAAGGUGCUGUCACUGCUACCGAACUUCUUUCUCUCCAAGGACCUAUCCAAACACUUUCCAAACAUUUCCAUUUCACAUAAUUCAUACAAUAUCUCCUGUAUUAGUGAAAUUCCAUUGGUAGAACAUUGGCGUCUGCACUCAUAAAACAUGUAUUUUUAUUUACAAGUUAUGUGUAUAUACUAUAUACUCUUAUUAAGCAUAAUAUAAAGCACUUCCAAAACCAGAUUUUAUAAGAGGAGAUAAAGGUAAAAUAAACUUUAUUAUUUAAUUUUUUUAAUACUAUAAAGCCCUUUUAAUCAUGUAACAAAAUUAUAUGAUUUUAGAGAGAGCAAUGUGAUUAAAUAUGCUUCAUUAUUUUUAACCUAAGCUUGCUUCUUUGUGAUACAGGCAUUUGAAGGUUAUAUCUUUUGCCUCAUUAUUUUUUCUUUAUAAUUUAUGUACAGAAAAGUGCACCUGUUUUAAAGUAUGUAGUUUGAUGAGUUUUGGACCAAGUAGUUUAUUUUGAUAUCUGGUUUUAAUAGCUGAUGUCUAAAACACAAGUGAUAGGACACAAUUCAUAAUUAAUGCUAGUGGGUAUAUAAUCCGUUUUUCAAGUCGUUUUCCUGAUGAUUCAGCCUGUGUUGCAUGAUUUGUUUUUGCCCUCUUAUUUUCAGAUCUGAUUAGAUCUUCAAUUUUUACCUAUAACAUAUGGCUGAUUAAGGUAAAUCCAUAGAAGUGUCCGUUUUCUGUUUGUUUGCACGUGCUUAUGUUAUUAGUGCUAUCCUUAAUCCAUGUUUCCUUCGUAGGCAUCUUUUUAAGCCAUUUGUACAUUUGUAAAAGAGUUCAGUUAAACUGAUUUGUACAUCCUCUUAGCCAGGCCCAGGUGUGUUGCAGUCUUUCACCAUAUGCUGGGAGUGAAGAACUGCAUGGAUUUGUCCCUCCAGGCAGAAUCCCCUUUUCUCUCUCCAUGCCUCACAGUUCCAGUAUCAUGUGAUUUAGGGAAUGCACCAGGGAAAAUUCAAACAAGAGACUUUAGGAGAGCUUACUUUAUUUUUAAGGU
ensembl:lncRNA